UGGGGAAUAUUGCGCAAUGGGGGGAACCCUGACGCAGCCAUGCCGCGUGAAUGAAGAAGGCCUUAGGGUUGUAAAGUUCUUUCGGUAUUGAGGAAGGUUGAUGUGUUAAUAGCACAUCAAAUUGACGUUAAAUACAGAAGAAGCACCGGCUAACUCCGUGCCAGCAGCCGCGGUAAUACGGAGGGUGCGAGCGUUAAUCGGAAUAACUGGGCGUAAAGGGCACGCAGGCGGUUAUUUAAGUGAGGUGUGAAAGCCCCGGGCUUAACCUGGGAAUUGCAUUUCAGACUGGGUAACUAGAGCACUUUAGGGAGGGGUAGAAUUCCACGUGUAGCGGCGAAAUGCGUAGAGAUGUGGAGGAAUACCGAAGGCGAAGGCAGCCCCUUGGGAAUGUACUGACGCUCAUGUCCGAAAGCGUGGGGAGCAAACAGGAUUAGAUACCCUGGUAGUCCACGCUGUAAACGCUGUCGAUUUGGGGGUUGGGGUUUAACUCUGGCGCCCGUAGCUAACGUGAUAAAUCGACCGCCUGGGGAGUACGGCCGCAAGGUUA
rnacentral:rRNA from 1 species